CUAAUGAGAAGGUAGAUGCAGUGGAGAGGGAGGAGAGCAACACCACAGUAGUGAAUUCAUCUCCUGAUUGAACUUGGAAGUGGAUUCAUCCCCAGUCAAGCCUCCAGAUAAAAACACAGCCUAGUUGACACUUUGCAGCCAUGUGAGACCUUAGUCAAAGGAAGAAGCUAACCUCUGCCUGGACUUUUGACCCACAGAAACCAUGUGAAAAUAAAGUGUGUUGUUUUAACUCA